rnacentral:rRNA from 1 species
CUAGCCCUAAACCAUCAGGACUUGGGGUUUGCCCUGUACGGGGCAAGUCCCGUAGCUAACGCGUUAAGUCCUGCGCCUGGGGAGUACGGUCGCAAGACUGAAACUCAAAGGAAUUGACGGGGGCCCGCACAAGCGGUGGAACAUGUGGUUCAAUUCGACGCAACGCGAAGAACCUUACCUGGGCUUGAACCGCACAGGACCAUCUUUGGAAACAGAGACUUCCCGCAAGGGACCUGUGUAGAGGUGCUGCAUGGCUGUCGUCAGCUCGUGCCGUGAGGUGUUGGGUUAAGUCCCGCAACGAGCGCAACCCUUACUCUUAGUUGCCACCCGCAAGGGGGAACUCUAAGAGGACUGCUCCGGAUAACGGAGAGGAAGGUGGGG